GUGUGUUGAGAACACUGGGUCGGUCUCUGCAAUCACACCGGGCUUGGGAGGCAAAGAGAAAACUCUUCUUUACUUUCUGCUGCCUAGUACUUUCUGCUUGCUGGGACCUGUUAGAUAAGGUUUGGGGACUAGUGAGGUAGGGACCCUUUGUGUGGAGGCAACAGUUAGAGCGCAGGCUUGCUGGGAUGCUAGAAAUCUCAGGAGAAAAUUUCAUGGCAGAAGAACCAGAAAACUAGCUCAGCUUCAGGUGACUCAAGCAAGACCUUGGAGGAAAUGGAGGGCCUCUGGCAUCUGGCAUCAUCUACGGGCCUUGACUCUGGGCCUCUACGGGCAGACACACUGGUGGAUCUCGGGGGUAUAUGCAGUAUCUGAGACUUGUCAGCACUCACUGUCUGCACCCGGCCUGGCAGGUCAGUCCUCUGUAAGUAUCAGGGGACAGAACCCAAGGAGGAUUAGGCAAACCAGUUUACUCUUCUAGGCCGUGCUGAUUCCCAGGAGCUACCAGGCCCCGACUCCGCCUCUCCUAAUGCUGCCCAGGGCAUUUCCAGGCUUCCUGCUCACUGGAUUCAACCAACAGAGGGUACUGGAACUCCUCAACUGUUGCUUAUGUUACUAAAUCUUGAAGGAGGACCAUCGCAAAAGGUAUGGAAUGCCUAGUGCUCAUCCUGCUGAGGACACUCAGAAAGUGAGAGGUAGAACCACCAAGUUCAGGCCUUCUGAACUCAUCAAGAGCAGUUGCUGGGACAAAGGAACUAACUCCAGGACAUCGUGGUGCAAGUGCAUUCCCACACACGGCCAUCUUUGACUGGCCAAUGGCCCUCCUUCCGGACGCUCAGAGCCCAGGCUGCUCCUGUGAACGCCUCUGCCAUCUGCCUGAUGUGGGCACCCUGCACUGUGAUAUAGACGUCUGUUAAGCUUCGAGGGACAGUGAGAAAUGUCUUCUCCAUUCUUGCCUCUUCCAGCCCCUUUUUCUUUGGGGCCACCAACCAAAUCAUGAUACAGAGACUUAAUAGUUUCGAAUGCUCAGCCUAGCUUUGGCUAGUUUCUGGAUAGCUCCUUUAACUUAAAUUACCCUGUUUGUCUACCUUUCACCUGGGGCUUUUUACUUUUCUUUCCUUCUGUACAGCCUACUUUUGCUGUC